rnacentral:lncRNA from 1 species
ACACUCUAAAAUUUGUAGGCAGGUAGAACACAAAAGCAAGAUUCAGUUAUAUCUCUUCUCCAAUUGUUUUUCUUUUAUUCCAUGGUUCUAAAAAAUGUAGACUACAUUUAUAUGCACAUUAAAGCAAAAUGUUUAUAGAUGCAUUGCAAAAAAAGGUAUUAAUAAUAUGGAUAUAGUCAUCUAUAUAUCUGUAACUUAAAAUUUACAAAAAUAAACAGGAGUUCCCAUCGUGGCACAGCGGAAAGAAUCCAACUAGGAACGCUGAGUUUGCAGGUUCCAUCCCUGGCCUCACUCAGUGGGUUAAGGAUCUGGUGUGGCCAUGAGCUGUGGUGUAGGUCACAGACGUGGCUCAGAUCUGGCAUUGCUGUGGCUCUGGUGCAGGCCAGCGGCUAUAGCUCCAAAUAUACCCCUAGCCAGCAACCUCCAUGUGCCUAAAAAGACAAAACACAAAAAAAUAAAACAUAAAUUAAAAAAUAAACAAAAAGUUCCCAUUCUCUUCCUUUCUUUUCCUGUAUUUAUUUUUAAAUAAGUUACACUGAUUUUAUCAAUAUUUAAUAUGACUGGGUGUUGACUUAGUAAAAAGCCUAGUUUUUGAUUCAGCUAUCUUAUUGCAGACUAUUACAUAAAUAUAUGGAAUCUCAAAUAAACGCAUUUUUAUUUACAUAUCAUUAAGGAAGACAGCUUGAGUGGUAUAACAGAAAUAAUACCAGCUAGAAAAUAAGAGAGCUCUGGUCUCAAAUUCUUCUCAUAGAGCUCAGGAAACUCGUUAAUAUUGAAGUUUCAAAAUUAAUUUCUGUAUCUAUCACACAUUUCAUUAUGGAUUUUUAUUUUCAUAAUAUUAAAAUGUACACCAUCAAGAAUCUUUAAGGAUGUUAUUUCACUCAUUCCAGAAAAGUAUUUACAUAGGCCAAGGUCAGUCCUAGGCACUGUAGAUGCACCCAUGAACAAGAUAAAGACCUUGACCUCUGGCAGUAUAGCAGAAUUCUGGCCUCUGCACACCUGCACCCAUUAAGUUUCAGAGACAGAGUUUUGGGUGAAGAAGAAAGAACAGGUUUAUUGCUUUGCCAGGCAAAGGGGGCCAUGGUACGCUAAUGCUCUCAAAACUGUGCUCUCCCUUGAGAGAGGAUAGCAAGGUGUUUUAUAGGUUUAGCCUAAAAAAACAGGGCUGUUGGUAAGGAUUAGGGUGCCUGCGUUCUUCUCCCUCCAUUGAUCAUUUCAAAGUCAUCAAGGCUGGGGUCGGGUGGUCCAGUGACAGUUUCUGUUGGUCUUUGGGGUUGUCGAACCUUGACCUUCUCUCCAAAGUGAAGAUGGCUCACAAAAAGAAGGGGGUGUCAGGGAGUGUUUCAAAGGAAAAGAAAACACCACAUGUAAUAUAGUUCUAAUCUGGAAGUAACCAGUAGUAAAAGAAAGCAUUAAGCAAGGAAGAGAUCAUUUGCAAGGAAAAGCUGGUUAGAAUACGUUCUUUGGCCAAGUCAGGGCAUAGCCUAAUGGUAACUGUUUUAACUAGCUUUUAGUUGUAACAGUAUUUCCUGAUUAGCAACUCUUAAAUCAGCUUCUUGAGAUUGAGGGGAGGCCUGGAAGGCUAAAGGAAAAGCCUUUUACUUCAAAACACAAGGACAUGGGUUUCAGGAGCUGACAUUCUAGCAAGGGAGGCAAAAUCAAGAAGAAAACAAGUGAUGUCCCUUGUGAUAGAUAAUUGUGAUAAAGAAAAUAAAGCAAAGGAAGGGGAGAGAGAGCCAUGCAUGGUGCAUAGUCAGGGGAGGGGACAUUUGAGGGAGAAGGACAGUGAGAUAAUGUGGGGUCAGAACAUUUCAGGUUCAAAGGGAAAAGACCUGGAUGUCACCUCUAUCGUGGAACAGCACAGUAAUUUAACAGCAUCCAGAAGGGUCUGUAAACUACAUAAUUUAAUGCCACUGAACUCAGUCUAGUGUAUCCUUCACUCAACUUUCUCAUAGACGAGCAUCUUCUCCAGUGUCACCUGAGCCAUGUGACAGAGGAAGUACUAAUGCAGGGAGACAAGUCCUAAACCUAUUAUUUUUCAAACAUCUGCUUUAUACAAAUGUUACAGAGACAUAUGGCCUCUCCCAGUACCUUGAAAGGGGCUUGUAUGGUGCAGGGACCUGAUGCUUAAGCCUCAUUAGCUUUAUGGUGAAUCCCCUUUCAGUCAAAGGUCACAGUUUAUUAUUUUCAUCUCUUUUUAAAGUGAGCAAUAAAAUCACUAUUUAAGUACCUGGUUAAUACAAGGGUUUUGUUUGUUUAUUUUUCCUUUCUAGGGCUGUACCUGUGCCAUAUGGAAAUUUUCGGGCUAGGGGUCAAAUCAGAGCUGCGGCUGCAACCUACACUGUAGCUUAUGACAACACUCCAUCCUUAAACCACUGAGCGAGGCCAGGGAUCAAACCUGCAUCCUCAUGGAUACUAAUCGGUUCCUAACCCACUGAACCACAAUGGGAACUCUAAUACAAGGGUUUUUAAUCCUGAUGAAGAAAAUUCUGACCAAAGACUUCCCAAAACCUAAGGAGGAGCCAGUAUAAAAAAAGGUAAGUCCUGUUUUGGAUGUGUUAAGUUUCAGGUGUCUUAUUAGAUAACCAAAUGGAGAUGCCACAACUCUAGAACUCAUGAGAGAUGUGUGUUUGGGAGUCAUUAGCUUAGAGACAGUCUUCAAAACCCAACGAUGAGGUGGACCACUUUAGGGUUUGAGUAUAGUGGGAGAAGGACAGGGGGCCCGUGACUGAACUUCAGCACUCUGCCAUUUAGUCAUUAUUUGCUUAAGAUAGAAGCAACUGUUUUGUUUUUGUCUACUGAUACAGACACAAAAAAGAGAAAAAAAUGAGGACACUGGGAGAUGGGGCCUGGUUAUAGGAUCAGUGAGCCUGAACCAGGUGACAGGGAGUGGGAUGCAUGGGAAAGUGGAAGAGCCUGGCCUUGGCCCAGGUGGGGCAGUUUACCCAUGAGAAGAGGUGGGCAAGGAGGGUGUGCAAGACAAGCGUGGGGUCCAGUGCAGUGAAGGGAAGGGAAGUACUGAAACACAGAAAACCCAGACUGCUUCUGCCUGUUGCUGUUCCUUCUGGGCCACAGACAUGUUGCUCCCUCUACCUGUUUAAGAUUCUUAUAUCUAUUGAUCUAACCAUGUGUCUACCUAUGUUUUCCAUAAUUGAAAGUAAUUCUUUGAAGGCAAGAGUUAUCCUUAUAAUUCCUUCACAAAUGCAGUAUCUUUCAAUGUGCUUUGCACGUUGUAAGUACCCCAUGAACUUUGCUUAAAUGCAGGAAGCAGUUUAUUAUUAGUUUAUUACAACCCAUUAAUUUAUUACUAAUUAAUAAAAAUAAGUAACGUUUGGUUACCACUGAAGUUAAACUCUAUGAGGACAGGAAUUUUGACUGUUUUGUGAACUGCUCUAUUCCCAACAUGAAGAGUCCAAUUCAUUAAAUAUUAGUGUCUGCUAAUAUUAUGAUUGAGUCUAAAGCCUGGGUAUGUGGACUUUGAGGAUUAUUGUAUAUCAGGUCCCUUUGAAGGGUCAGAGGAAAAAAUGUCUCCUAUGACAGGUGAUAAGACAAGAGGAUUUUUAAAGUACUGACCUCAAACAAAUAAACUGCCAAUUAUUUCUCCAGCAAAAAAUUGGAUUUACUUGGGAUCAGCAAAGAAUUAUGACUCAGAGUCUGCAAUUACAGGGAGCAACGCACAAGCCCUAUGCAACAAGGAAAGGAGAAAAGGAAGUUGGAAGGGCAAUAGUAAACAGAGUUCACUGGAGGAAUUGAGAGUUCAAAGCAUAGUGAUUUUCAUUGGCUAACUUGUGACAAUCUGUCAUUGGCUGAGGUCUUACCAGGUGAGAUGAGACAGUCCUUCGCUUUCCUCUUGGGCUCUGCUAUGGUCCUGUAUAUUGAGAGCUCCCCCACCCAUUGGCCUCCCAACUAUUUUGAUUAAGGUUUCUAUUUAUUAAUUUUUACAAAGGGAGAGGGAAUAGCAAGAUUAGAAACACAGACUCAGUUACAACUCCUUUAGGAGUUGCUGAUAUGUCUAAAAGAAAUACUUAUUUCUAGGGAAUGGAGUGAUGUGGCAGCUCAGAGCCUGUGGGUAAGGAGGGGGCUGGGCUCCUGUGUAGCUUAGGAGGCACCAGAAAUUACGGUUUCCUGUGGGGGAGGGGGCAGCUGUGAGAGCUGGGGGUCCCAGAUGGGCAUGAGCUAAGUGGCCCUGAACCCAAGGGCUGAUGGUCGGGCCCCUCAGGAUUCAUAUAAAUGACCUUGGGGAGUGAACUGUACUGGACAGAGCUGCAUGGCGCCUGCUCAGCAGUGGGGGUGCUGGGCUCCCCGGGAGUGGAGUCUGGCUGAGUGAACACACGAGAACAUGCACCAGCCGGGGCAGAGCAGAAACAGGCAGGACUCCACGGUUCAGAGGGAUGAACGCGUCUCUGCAGAGACCAGCCAGAGGGCAGCCAGGACCCAGAGGCUGGUGCCAGGGACCUCCCCUUGAGUCAGCCCCGGCCUGGGGGCGGAGCAGGGAGGGCAGGGAGGGACAGGAACGUGGAUGGACUUUUACCCAGUAGCAAUGACCGUGACUGAAGUAACCGAGGGGCCGCUGGGCUUGCAUCUGCCCACGUCCUUGGCCCGGCCCAGGGAAGUGGAGCCUGGGGAGGAGCGGAUCACAAGAGAAAAUAAAGCCGUCAUUGUCUUUGUUCUUAUGGACCCAGUGUGUUAACACUGGAAACUGUUAACCUGGAGGUCUGGGGGCUGUAAGAAGAGCAGCUUCCGUAGGAAACCAAGUGGUGGCCUGAGGCUCAGAGAGAAAAGGGCACCACUGUCCUCAGCCAUGAUAAUAGCUGAGACUGCAGGGCCUGCCUGGGCAGGGCUGGAGGGAGAACCCUGGAAGGUUAUGAGUCCGGGGGGAAUUAACCACCUGGGAGAUUGGCAGCCGUGCUUCCAAUCUGCUGCCAGCGACUGAACUGUCUAAGUGUCCUCAGCUACCCUGAACUGUGGGGCUCUAGCUAAUCUAAAUUGCCUCUACUGAGUAUUCCGAAAUCCCUAAAAAGGUAGUACAAUUAAACAUGCCCUUGGAUUUCCUGGCAUGGCUCAGUGGUAAUGAACCCAACUAGCAUCCAUGAGCACACAGGUUCGAUCCCUGGCCUCACCCAGUGAUUUGAGGACCUGGCGUUGACAUGAGCUGUGGUGUAGGUUGUAGAUGCGGCUGAGAUCCUGCAUUGUUGUGGCUGUGGUGUAGGCUGGUGGCUACAGCUCUGAUUCGACUCUAGCCUGGGAGCUUCCAUAUGCCACAGAUGUGGCCCUAAAAAAACCAAAAAAAAAAAAAAAA